CUUUCUUAGAGCUUGGUGCAAUAUGGAGGACUCGAUCCCCGCAGUGAGGGCUUCCUGCUUUCUACCUAACCUUAUUUGGAGAAUGUCUCUAGGCCCAGAUGCCUGACUUAUCUCAAGUGUGGUCCUUGACAGAGUGUUCUGUAAAAGCCUUCCCCCUGCUGCCCAUAUGGUAACCAGACAUUGUACUAGGAGCAUUAUGAUAGGACUGUGCUGUCACAUAUGCUAAUUAGGUGAUGUCCCACCUGCUGUCCCUGCACAACAUAUCUCCCUCACUCUGGAAUAAAGCUGGGCUGUAACACUGAAGCAGUCUCUCAGAAGGCUAUUUCCGUCAUGCUCACAGGUCAGACAAAGCCUUUCUUGCUGCUUCUGCCCCUCACGGCCUGGUGGCCAACAGAUCACUGGGAAGGAAAGGAACCACAAGGGUCCUGAAACUGAUGAAGAUUUAGGAUCAAGAACCUGUGGCUUUCUAUCCAUGAACAUUCCCUUGAAUCAGUACUUCCCAAUCAGAAGUGAAUUUAUUCCUCAGAGGGUAUCUGACAUAAUCUGGAGCAACUUCUGAUUGUCACCUUUGAGGACUGGGAUGUGUUACUGGCAUCUAACCGUCAGACAGAUUCCAGGUAUGCUGCAAAAACAUUACACAGAGAACAGGCCUCGAUCUCGCCAUGGAACCCAGCACAAUUUCCAAGACACGAAGAGAGAGACACCAAAGAGGGCAAGACCACAGGCGGUAACCACAAGGGUUA